rnacentral:rRNA from 1 species
AGCGAACGCUGGCGGCAGGCUUAACACGUGCAAGUCGAGCGGGCACUUUCGGGUGUCCGCGGCGGACGGGUGAGUAACGCGUGGGAACGUGCCCUCUGGUUCGGAAUAACUCAGGGAAACUUGAGCUAAUACCGGAUACGCCCUUUUGGGGAAAGGCUUGCUGCCGGAGGAUCGGCCCGCGUCUGAUUAGCUAGUUGGUGAGGUAACGGCUCACCAAGGCGACGAUCAGUAGCUGGUCUGAGAGGAUGAUCAGCCACACUGGGACUGAGACACGGCCCAGACUCCUACGGGAGGCAGCAGUGGGGAAUAUUGGACAAUGGGCGCUAGCCUGAUCCAGCCAUGCCGCGUGAGUGAUGAAGGCCUUAGGGUUGUAAAGCUCUUUUAUCCGGGACGAUAAUGACGGUACCGGAGGAAUAAGCCCCGGCUAACUUCGUG